AGUGAACGCUGGCGGUAGGCCUAACACAUGCAAGUCGAACGGCAGCACAGUAAGAGCUUGCUCUUACGGGUGGCGAGUGGCGGACGGGUGAGGAAUACAUCGGAAUCUACUUUUUCGUGGGGGAUAACGUAGGGAAACUUACGCUAAUACCGCAUACGACCUACGGGUGAAAGCAGGGGAUCUUCGGACCUUGCGCGAUUGAAUGAGCCGAUGUCGGAUUAGCUAGUUGGCGGGGUAAAGGCCCACCAAGGCGACGAUCCGUAGCUGGUCUGAGAGGAUGAUUCGCCACCCCUGAACCUGGGCACCGGUCAAGCCCCCAAGGGGAGGAGCAGUGGGGAAUUUUUGAAAAUUGGCGCAAGCCUUAUCCAGGCAUACCCGGUGGGUUAAGAAGGCCUUUCGGUUUGAAAGCCCUUUUGGUGGGAAAGAAAAGCAGCAGGUUAAUACCCCGCCGGUCUGACGGGACCCAAAGAAUAAGCACCGGCUAACCCCGUU
rnacentral:rRNA from 1 species